rnacentral:lncRNA from 15 species
CUGAGUAUCAUCCCCAAAAAUGUCAAUUAUAAAAGGGGGGCUUCCUAUAAGUCUGUAAAAGAAAAAAAUAUUUAAACAUCAUUUAAGUAGCAACAUUUUGAUCUAAACUUCAUUUCAUUGUUUUUCAUUGUCUUUUCAAGCCAAGAGAGACGCUCAUGAACACAUUGUGUUGAACAGUUUAUCUGUGUGAGCACCACACACACACACACACACACACACACACACACACACACACACACACACAAAGAUAAACUCACCUGAGUUCCUGGACAUAGAGAGGGGAGGAGCUGACCAGGUAGCUAACAUAACACCAGGGAGGAAACCCUGAAAGUGUUCAGUUGGUUCAGUCUCCAUUUUGAGUCGACAGAGCAGAAGGAGGGAAACUGAAGGCCGAGGCAGGGUGAGUGUUAAUACAACAUUAUUAUUAUUUUACUGUCAAAGUCUCUGAGUCAGUUUUCUUCCUGUGGACUGUAGAGGACAGAAAUGUUAGAAUGAAGUCUUGCGUGUGACUUUUGAACAAACCUGUUUCCUUAUUCUUGUGCUCUGAGCUCAGUCUGUUAAUAUUUUACUUUUUUAGACUGACUAAAGUCCAAAAGAUGAGUUUUUGUGUGGAGGAAGAAGAGGACAGAGCAGAGUCUCCAGUGUCCAGCUGUCUGUCUAUGAAGAGUAACUGGUCCAAACGUGAUCCUCCAUUCUUCAGUAAUGAACCUGGACCCUCAGACACAAAAGUUCAGUACAACAGACAGAGAGCAGAGUCUCCAGUGUCCAGCUGUCUGUCUAUGAAGAGUGAUCAGUCCAAAGAAUAUCCUCCAGACUUCAGUAAUGAACCUGGACCCUCAGACACAAAGUAAGAAACUGUUUUUACUGUAAACUGACCUGAUGGAAGAUGAUUCAUUGAGCAUGAAGACAAAAUAGAUUUAUUUUCAUGAUGCAGAACUAUUAGUGCAGACACUGUUUCAAACUAAAAUGUAUCUUAUUUUAUUUAUUUAACAAAACACUUGAGAACCUCCGUUUCAG